rnacentral:rRNA from 1 species
GAUGAACGCCGGCGGUGUGCCUAAUACAUGCAAGUCGUACGCACUGGCCCAACUGAUUGAUGGUGCUUGCACCUGAUUGACGUUGGAUCACCAGUGAGUGCGGACGGGUGAGUAACACGUAGGUAACCUGCCCCGGAGCGGGGGAUAACAUUUGGAAACAGAUGCUAAUACCGCAUAACAACAAAAGCCACAUGGCUUUUGUUUGAAAGAUGGCCUUGGCUAUCACUCUGGGAUGGACCUGCGGUGCAUUAGCUAGUUGGUAAGGUAACGGCUUACCAAGGCGAUGAUGCAUAGCCGAGUUGAGAGACUGAUCGGCCACAAUGGAACUGAGACACGGUCCAUACUCCUACGGGAGGCAGCAGUAGGGAAUCUUCCACAAUGGGCGCAAGCCUGAUGGAGCAACACCGCGUGAGUGAAGAAGGGUUUCGGCUCGUAAAGCUCUGUUGUUGGAGAAGAACGUGCGUGAGAGUAACUGUUCACGCAGUGACGGUAUCCAACCAGAAAGUCACGGCUAACUACGUGCCAGCAGCCGCGGUAAUACGUAGGUGGCAAGCGUUAUCCGGAUUUAUUGGGCGUAAAGCGAGCGCAGGCGGUUGCUUAGGUCUGAUGUGAAAGCCUUCGGCUUAACCGAAGAAGUGCAUCGGAAACCGGGCGACUUGAGUGCAGAAGAGGACAGUGGAACUCCAUGUGUAGCGGUGGAAUGCGUAGAUAUAUGGAAGAACACCAGUGGCGAAGGCGGCUGUCUGGUCUGCAACUGACGCUGAGGCUCGAAAGCAUGGGUAGCGAACAGGAUUAGAUACCCUGGUAGUCCAUACCGUAAACGAUGAGUGCUAGGUGUUGGAGGGUUUCCGCCCUUCAGUGCCGGAGCUAACGCAUUAAGCACUCCGCCUGGGGAGUACGACCGCAAGGUUGAAACUCAAAGGAAUUGACGGGGGCCCGCACAAGCGGUGGAGCAUGUGGUUUAAUUCGAAGCUACGCGAAGAACCUUACCAGGUCUUGACAUCUUGAGCUAACCUUAGAGAUAAGGCGUUCCCUUCGGGGACGCAAUGACAGGUGGUGCAUGGUCGUCGUCAGCUCGUGUCGUGAGAUGUUGGGUUAAGUCCCGCAACGAGCGCAACCCUUGUUACUAGUUGCCAGCAUUAAGUUGGGCACUCUAGUGAGACUGCCGGUGACAAACCGGAGGAAGGUGGGGAUGACGUCAAAUCAUCAUGCCCCUUAUGACCUGGGCUACACACGUGCUACAAUGGACGGUACAACGAGUCGCAAGACCGCGAGGUUUAGCAAAUCUCUUAAAGCCGUUCUCAGUUCGGAUUGUAGGCUGCAACUCGCCUACAUGAAGUCGGAAUCGCUAGUAAUCGCGGAUCAGCAUGCCGCGGUGAAUACGUUCCCGGGCCUUGUACACACCGCCCGUCA